GCAACCCAGAUGCAGCACAAUACUUGAGUUUUGCAGCUAUAAGAUGCAGUAUGCAUCGUGAACGAACAAAAAAUCAGCCAUCCGUACCUAAUACAUUGGCAUCAUUAUAUGACAUUUUACAAAGUUCUGAUAUCAUACAAAAUAUCUAUAAAGAAAACGUAAUUACAAGUGAUGGAAAAAAUGCAAUAAUUUUAUCAACCAAUUAUUUAUUACAAGCAUUAUCUUCUGCUACUGAAAUCUACGUCGAUGGAACUUUUUCUGUUCUCCCAUGUAAACCUCACAUUGCGCAGCUUUACUCUGUACAUAUGCGAUAUAUGGAUACGGGUAUUGCAACAUUAUUUAUAUUAUGUGAUGUACGUACAAUAACUAUGUAUGACGCUUUAUGGGAUAAAAUUACACAACUGAUACCACAACUUGAACAAAAUAUCAAGUUUAUCAUGAGCGACUUUGAAAUGGCUGCAGUAAAAUCGUUGAACAAAAAGUUUCCUAGAGCUAAGUUAACUGGAUGUUGGUUCCAUUUCAAUCAGGUAUAUAUAGA